rnacentral:ncRNA from 2 species
GCAAUCCUUCGGGGUAGGUGAAAUUCCUAACCGGCGGUGAUCGGGAAGGCACAGAAUAUCGGAUAACCGAAUUUCUGUGCCUCUCGUCAGUCCGUGACCCGGUUUAAACGGCAUUUUAUCCAAGAUCAUUUGGAUAGAAUACGAUUAGAACGGUGGACCUGGUGAAACUCCGGGACCGACAGUACAGUCUGGAUGGGAGAAGGGGAUG